AUACGGAGGGUGCAAGCGUUAAUCGGAAUUACUGGGCGUAAAGCGCGCGUAGGCGGUUUGAUCAGUCGGACGUGAAAGCCCUGGGCUCAACCUGGGAACUGCAUUCGAUACUGUCAGACUAGAAUAUGGUAGAGGGUAGUGGAAUUCCUGGUGUAGCGGUGAAAUGCGUAGAUAUCAGGAGGAACAUCAGUGGCGAAGGCGGCUACCUGGACCAAUAUUGACGCUGAGGUGCGAAAGCGUGGGGAGCAAACAGGAUUAGAUACCCCAGUAGUCC
rnacentral:rRNA from 1 species